rnacentral:rRNA from 1 species
AACGAACGCUGGCGGCAUGCCUAACACAUGCAAGUCGAACGAGACCUUCGGGUCUAGUGGCGCACGGGUGCGUAACGCGUGGGAACCUGCCCUUAGGUUCGGAAUAACUCCCCGAAAGGGGUGCUAAUACCGGAUAAUGUCUUCGGACCAAAGAUUUAUCGCCUUUGGAUGGGCCCGCGUUGGAUUAGCUAGUUGGUAGGGUAAAAGCCUACCAAGGCGACGAUCCAUAGCUGGUCUGAGAGGAUGAUCAGCCACACUGGGACUGAGACACGGCCCAGACUCCUACGGGAGGCAGCAGUGGGGGAUAUUGGACGAUGGGCGGAAGCCUGAUCCAGCACUGCCGGGUGAGUGAUGAAGGCCUUAGGGUUGUAAAGCUCUUUUACCCGGGAUGAUAAUGACAGUACCGGGAGAAUAAGCUCCGGCUAACUCCGUG